rnacentral:rRNA from 1 species
UACGAAGGGGGCUAGCGUUGCUCGGAAUUACUGGGCGUAAAGCGCACGUAGGCGGCUUUUUAAGUCGGGGGUGAAAUCCUGGAGCUCAACUCCAGAACUGCCUUCGAUACUGGAGAGCUUGAGUCCGGAAGAGGUGAGCGGAACUCCGAGUGUAGGGGUGAAAUUCGUAGAUAUUCGCAAGAACACCAGUGGCGAAGGCGGCUCACUGGCCCGGUACUGACGCUGAGGCACGAAAGCGUGGGGAGCAAACAGG